rnacentral:rRNA from 1 species
AGAGAUUUGAGAAGAGUUGCUUCUAGUACGAGAGGACCGAAGUGAACGAACCUCUGGUGUUCCGGUUGUCACGCCAGUGGCAUUGCCGGGUAGCUACGUUCGGACGGGAUAACCGCUGAAAGCAUCUAAGCGGGAAGCCUCCUUCAAGAUGAGAUCUCCCUGGGACUUUAAGUCCCCUUAAGAUCCGUCGAAGACUACGACGUUGAUAGGCAGGGUGUGGAAGCUCAGUAAUGAGUGAAGCUAACCUGUACUAAUUGAUCGUGAGGCUCCAUACAACA